AUUUACAUAAUUUAUAAAUAGAAUAUUGCAUUGAAGCUGCAAAUGAGGUCAUGGAUCUGUAAAUG
rnacentral:tRNA from 1 species